AUGGCCCUCUUUGAAGAAUUAUAUAGGGGCACUUGCGAUCUUCGCCACCUAAACUAUGGGGUCAUUACUCUCAUCCGCAAGGUCCCUGGUGCGACGGAGAUUAGGCAAUUCCGCCCGAUUACCGUGAUCAAUGUGAUCUCCCACAUCUUGGCAAAGGGGUACGCCAAUAGGAUGACCCCUUUGGCCAACCGCAUCACCCACCCAGAUCAGUCGGCCUUCAUCCAGGGUCGGUGCAUCCUCGACGGAGUCCUCGUCUUUCAGGAGGUACUCCAUGAGGCCCGCGCCAAGCACCUAAAGGCCGUCUUCCUGAAGAUUGACUUCCAUAAGGCCUAUGACACCGUCAGCUGGCCGUUCCUUCGGGAAGUGUUGAUUAGGAAAGGCUUCGAUAAUCGAUGGGUCACGAGGGUCAUGCAGCUGGUGUCCUCUGGCCAAACCGCCAUCAACAUCAAUGGGGAGAUUGGCCCCUAUUUCCCCACCUUAUGUGGGGUCAGGCAGGGCGGCCCGUUUUCCCCUUUCUUUUUCAACAUGGUGGUCGACGCUCUCGCGGCCAUCCUUGACAAGGUAAAGGAAGCAGGCCACAUUCGUGCCAUCGUCCCCCACCUUACCGGCGGCAUUGGAGUCUCUUUGCUCCAAUACGCCGACGAUACCAUCAUUAUGGUUGAGGGAUCCACGAUGGAUAUCAUGAACCUCAAGUUCCUCCUCCUAUGCUUCCAGCAUCUGCCGGCUCUCAAGAUUAACUUCGACAAGAGCCAGGUGAUAGUGUUAGGCUACUCUCCUGAGGAGAGUCAGAGUAUUGCCAACCGGCUUAAUUGCCCAUUGGGUUCUUUCCCCACUACCUACUUGGGGAUCCCCAUUAGCGACUCACACCCGACUGUUGUUGAUUUGAGGCCUUCGGUGCUCAAACUUCAACACCGCAUCAAACCCUGGUAG
rnacentral:rRNA from 1 species